UUUCAGCUCCAUGUGUUGACAAUGUACAGUCUGCUAUUGAACAUAUUUUUCCUUUGGUUGCUGAGUUUAAAGCAGUUAAAAGUGAAGUUAAUGCUGAACUUCUAAUGAAAGAAGCCAAAUUUAUUCAGAAACACAGAGUGAUCAAACCAAAACGUCCAAUCACUAAAUUUGAAGAAGACUUAGAGUAUGAAGAUUCAAGUGAAGAAGAUUUUGAUAGUGAGGAAGACCAGGAUUAAAAGAGUUGAAAUGCAUUUACGAAAGUAGAAGUCAAUCAGAUUUGGUGCUUUCUUAAACAAUAAACAAAGAAACUAGCAUUACUGAUUUAAAAAUAAGCUGUUCACUAACUUAACGAGGUUGAUAGAUUAUACAUGUGUAUAUUGAUAUUGUUGAAUUGUGGGUGUUUGUUAAUGUUGGAUAUUUUUGUGUCAUUUAUCGCUGCAAUAAUAUAUAUAAACCUGCAAAUCUAUAAACUGUUACGAGGGACAUCUACCUCAUGGACAAUUAUGUUAAGGGAAAUGUUUUCCUAAGAGAAUGUUUUCAUGGUUAAUAUUUUUAAAAACUUUAAAAGCUUCUGAAAUAUGAAACAUGAUUAAAAUCAGAUAUACUGUAAAUUCAGAAAUUGUUGCGUGCAUUUAUUAUAGCGAAUUUGUCAUUUUAGACUAAAAUGCGAUUUUAACCUUUGCGUUAUUGAGAAAAGCCCUGUUUAAUCAUAUGAAAAAUUACAAAAGGCGAGUUUGAAUUAUUGCGAUUAUAACCCAGUUGCAUUUUUCGCAAUAAUAAAAACACCGCAAUAAUUUCUGAAUUUACAGUAUUGAGUUUCAAAUAUUUCAAGAUUGAUAAUUUUGGCUGUCUAAUCUUUGUUCUUGCAUGUACCUGAUAAAAGUAUGUAAAGGUCACUUUUAUACCUCUUGAUUGAAUUUUGGUAUCUGAAAUCCCCUUUGAAAACUUUUAGCUAUUUUGAGGCCGCCACUCUUUAUUGGUGGAGGAAGCUGGAGAGAAUAACUUUACCUUUGGCACUGGCAAUCCUAGUCAAUUAAGAUUAAAGAGUCAUCAAACUCCUUUACAUCUAUGAUCUAAUGGCUUUUGUUGUGUAAAUCUUUGUUCUAUAGUCCACUAUUAUUUUCAAAAAAUAAACUCAGAACCCAUUAAUUAUCUAUAAAGACUAAAUUUUUUAACAUUUCAUUUUUUUUUAAUUCCAGUCUUUAUAAAUGGCAGAGGUCUAUGUAUCUAUAGAUGUAAUUUGAUACUUUAUUGGCAUAGAUUGUCCAUAAAUAGGAUUGCAUACUACAGUGAAUUAUUAAAUUAGGGAACUACUACCCUUUUAACAAUACAAAUUAGUAUUUAUAAUAGUAUAUUUUUUUGUAUGAGAUUUUUGUCUAGGAAUUGUAAUAUGUUUUGUAGAUGAUCAGCUUUUUUAUAUAAAAAUAAUGGGUAUUAAUAUCACACAUCAAAUUACAUUGUUAGUAUCAUGAUUACAUUACAUUGUUGGUGUCAUCCAUUACAUUACAUUUUUGGUGUCAUGCAUAAAAUUACAUUGUUGGUGUCAUGCAUUAUAUUACAUUAUAACAUGUAGUAUCAUGCAUUACAUUAUUUUCUUGUUGUCAUGUAUUACAUUACAUUGUUGUUAUAUAACAUGCAUUACAUUACAUUGGUGGUAUCAUGCAUAGCAUUACAUUGCUAUUAUCACACAUCACAUUAUCAUUGCAUUUAUGAGGCUCAAUAAAGGGGGGAAAUUGUUAAUUACAAUCCUUAGAUUUGUCAUUGUAAUCAAAUUAUAAAUAAAAAUUCUUUUCUAACAAGCUUGGUAUCAGUAACUGGUUAUAAAAACACUUUCUUUUUAGAUAUUUUUUAUAUCAAAAACCGAUAAUUACUGUAAUAAAAAUAUUUUUCUUCCCCAAAUAGCUUGAUAUCAAUAAUAGAUAGAUAUAUGGACUGUUCCGAAAAUAAUCCUAGUUGGAGAAUGGGAGGCACAAAUUCAUGAAGGGAUGUUACAUUUUCUUCAGAAUUUUUAAAGUAUUAUAAAUAAUAAAAAAAGAUUAUUCUAUGGGUAGUAGAAGUCUAAAAAAGUGCCUUUCAUGCCUCUCAAUCUGUUUUUAUUUUUAACAGCCCUAAUAAAAGUGCCAAAUUCAAUGCCUUGUAUAAAUCAAAUAGUUUAAAUCUAAUAAUAUUAGCAUAAUAUCAUGAAUAUUAUUUGUUUACUGUUGUCAGGUAAUAUUAAACUCCACCAAGAGCCUCAUUUAUUUAUGUGGCAUUAUUAUGUUCGUCUAUUCCAUUAUAAUGAUGUUCUUGGGGAAGUUGUCAUUUUCUGAUAUUGGCCUGGGUGCAAUCAUUCUCUUGCUUUCCCGUUAUCUGAGAUGAUAUUAUACAGAAACAAGUUUAUUAAAAUACUAUUUUCCUAAUUUGGCAAAUUAGUCCAAUUUAACUGAAGUUAUUGCAUUACUUUUCUGCCUUCGUUCUUGUCAUUUGAUCUUUUGGUUUUUCAUGAUUAAGAUGCCUUCAUGAAGAGAGUUGUAUCCAAUGCUUUAUCUAACACAUCAUUGUGAAUUAAACACAAGUUCUGUAGUUGUGUGGAUUACUGUGUGUCUCACUUAACUCCACAAAUGUAAUUCACUGCUACAUCUUGCACAUCAUUGUGGAUUAAUCACAAGUUCUGUGGUGAUGUGGAUUAAUGUGUCUCACUUAACCUCUUUAUUAACUCUUGGAACCAAAAGAUUAAUAACCUUUAAUGAUUUCAGUAAGAAACAUUCACUUGUGUGGUGACAUCAUCUACAUUUAUGCCAGGGUUUCAAAACUUUAAAUAUCUUCCUGAACUGCCUUUUAUUUUUUAUAAAUGUUGGUUAAGACAGUCAUUGAUCUGGGUUUUGUUGUAAUUUUCAAAGUAUACACAAUCCUUUUCCAUAUUACAUGUAUUUUUUUUGUUGCUUAAAAUAUAUGGGUAGAACCGCUUAAUACUGUAUUGGAUAGCCUGCAAUGUCAGGGUUAUUGGAUGGCGGACAAGUGAUGUUUACGUCUUUAUCUAAGAAUUUACCAAUUAGCUCUUACCAGGCAUCUAUUUAUCUCUCCAAAAUUGUUACAUAAUAUGUUUGAGUGGUUUCAUAACAAAAUAAUUAAAAAAAUUUCCUUGUUAUUUUAUUUACAUGCUGUAUAGAAAUAUUCACUAAAUUUAAUAUCUUAUUAUAUGAGGAAGAAAGUAACCUCAGAUCUAAAUGUUAUAAUAAUUGUAAUCAGGUUUUACAGUUUGCAAACUCAACUAUGCAAAAAAAGAUAAAAUGUAUUUAUACCUUUCAAUUGAAAUGUUUAAGAAGUAUUACUGGUAUCAUACUGUUUCAUGGAUUUGCAAUGUCAUUUGACACAAAUUUUGUAAACAAUCGCUUCAUUUAAGAAUCAGGCUGCACAUAUAUAUAAAAUUUUAGUCCUCGUAUCUAUGAUGAGUUUAUAUAUAUAUAUAUAUAUUUAUAUCUUUUUAGGAUAAAAAAAAUACCUUGAGAAAUUUGUACUAGGCCAUGUUUUUGGAGAGGCAAGCCUCUUUCAAUAAUACUUUGUGAAUAAAAUAUCACAUGAUGGGAGAUAGCAUUGAAAUAGACUAUACGUCAAAUUUGAAAUUUUCUGGUUUUCCCCUAUAAAAAAGAUAGAAUAUAUAAGCUAACUGUGUACAAAUUAGGUUGAGAAAUAAUAUAAAAGGUGUCUUUAAAAUUUCCUGAUUCUUUCAUGAAGUACUGUUUAUAUUUUCAUUUGUUUAUUAACAAUUGAUAGACUGUUAAAGAGUAUCUGUCAAAUGUAUGAAUGUUUUAUGUAUGUUAACAUAGUUGUUGUCUAAGGAGGAAUGUUUUGUGUAUGACCAUUUUGAAGUCUUCAUUUUUGUAUGGAAUAAAAACUAUUUCCAUGAUGUUGUCGGCUAUAUGAGUUGAAAUUAAAAAAAAAAUCUUUACAUUUAUUGCCUUUAAAGGGGCAUUACAGACAGGCACUUGUCUCGGAAUUUUGUAUGGCCCCACAACGAAGUUGUCAGUACCAUAUAGUUUUACCCUUGUCUGAAAUUCCUUAAUUCCGUAAGUCCCUAAUUUCCGUUAUUCCGCAACAAACCAUUAUACAAAGUUUUUGUCGAGCCUGCAACUUUUGUUGCAGAAAGCUUGCCAUAGGGAUAGUGACCCGGCGGCGGCGGCGUUAGCUAACUUCUUAAAAGGUUUAUAUUUUAGAAGGUGAAAGACCUGGAUGCUUCAUACUUUGUAUAUAGAUGCCUCAUGUUACGAAGUUUCUGUCAGUCACAUGUCCAAUGUCCUUGACCUCAUUUUCAUGGUUCAGUGACCACUUGAAAAAAAAGUUCAAAAUUUUUGUAAUGUUGAACUCUCUUUUAUUAUAAGUAAUAGGAUAACUAUAUUUGGUAUGUGUGUACCUUGCAAGGUUCUCAUGCCCGUCAGACAGUUUUCACUUGACCUCGACCUCAUUUCAUGGAUCAGUGAACAAGGUUAAGUUUUGGUGGUCAAGUCCAUAUCUCAGAUACUAUAAGCAAUAGGGCUUGUAUAUUUGGUGUAUGGAAGGACUGGAAGGUGUACAUGUCCAACUGGCAGGUGUCAUCUGACCUUGACUUCAUUUUCAUGGUUCAGUGGUUAAAUUAAGUUUUUGUGUUUUGGUCUGUUUUUCUCAUACUUUAUGCAAUAGGUCUACUAUAUUUGUUGUAUGGAAUGAUUGUAAGGUGUGCAUGUCUAGUGGGCAGAUGUCAUCUGACCUUGACCUCAUUUUCAUGGUUCAGUGGUCAAAGUUAAGUUUUUAAGUUUUGGUCUUUUUAUCUAAUAUUAUAUGCCAAAGGUUAGCUAUAUUUGGUGUAUGGAAAUAUAUUAUGAUCUAUAUGUCAGUCCCGCAGGUUUAUUUGACUAUGACCUCAAUUGCACGGUUCAUUGCACAGUGUUAAGUUUUUGUGUUUUGGUCUAUUUUUCUUAAACUGUAAGUAAUAGGUCAACUAUAUUUGUUGUAUGGAAGCUUUGUUAGCUGUACAUGUCUGCCUGGCAUGGUUCAUCUGACCUUGACCUCAUUUUCAUGGUUCAUUUCAUUGGUCUUUGUUUAGCUAUCUUGGUUAAUGUUAAGUUUAUGUGACAGUUGUAAUAAAGCUUUAUACUUAGGACUUUCAACAUAAUAUCAAUGAUUAGUAAAGAAGGCGAGACAUUUCAGUGUGUGCACUCUUGUUUUCUAAAUGCCUUCAGAUAUUGGGCUGAUUUUUUGUUUGUGAGUUAACCAUCAUGAGUUACAGAUCAAGUUUAAGUUUUGUUAUGCUCGUAUAAUUUUUGCCGAAAUUACAGGCUAUGGACUUUGUUAAAUUGUUGAAAAUCACAGUUAUACAAACUUUUUUUCUAAACGCUUUCAGAUAUUGGGAUGAUUUUUAGGAUGUGAGUUACUCAUGAUGAGUUACAGAUCAAGUUUAAGUUUCGUUCCACUCCGCUAACUCUUGUCGAAAUUACUGGCUUUGGACUAUGUUAAAUUUUUGAAAAUCAAUUAUACAGACUUUUUUUCUAUAGCCCUCCAGAUUUUGAGCUGAUUUUUGAUAUGUGAGACCACCAUCAUGUUUGUGUCCACAUGUGUUAUUGAAAUUGCAGAUUUUUCAACUUUUUGAGACGGGGCCAUUAGUGUCGCUUGAGACGAGUGCCUGUGAUUUCAGACAAGAUAUAAAAAAUAUUAAAAUGGGAUUUUUUAUUUUGUUUAAUCAAUGAUGAAAGUGAAAAGUGGAAUAACAAAUUUCUUUUAGCAGCCAGUUUUGUUCAAUUUGUCCAAAUAAGCUUUAUAGUAACAUAGCUGAUAAUUCAAUCUCAUUGAUUCUGUAUUCAUGUGACCUUCAUUUUAAACCCUUAGAUAGAGAUUGGUUAUGCAUGUAUUAUGUGUGUUCAGUCAUUAAAAGAAAUAAAAUGUCAACAUUGAAAGUGAAACAAAGGUGAACCAUUUCCUUGACUGAUACUAUCCACAA
rnacentral:lncRNA from 1 species